GGGCUUGACAUCCCACGAACCUGCCUGAAAGGGCGGGGUGCCCGCAAGGGAGCGUGGAGACAGGUGGUGCAUGGCUGUCGUCAGCUCGUGUCGUGAGAUGUUGGGUUAAGUCCCGCAACGAGCGCAACCCUCACCCCUAGUUGCCACCGGGUAAAGCCGAGCACUCGAGGGGAACUGCCAGCGUCAAGCUGGAGGAAGGCGGGGAUGACGUCAAGUCAUCAUGCCCCUUACGUCCUGGGCUACACACGUGCUACAAUGGCCAGUACAAAGGGAUGCGAGACCGCGAGGUGGAGCUAAUCCCAAAAAGCUGGUCUAAGUUCAGAUUGCAGUCUGCAACUCGACUGCAUGAAGGAGGAAUCGCUAGUAAUCGCGUAUCAGCACGACGCGGUGAAUACGUUCCCGGGCCUUGUACACACCACCCGUCACACCGCGAAAGCCAGCUGUACUCGAAGUCGCUGAG
rnacentral:rRNA from 1 species